rnacentral:misc_RNA from 1 species
UCAAGCUCAGCCUUAGCACGUGCCUGUCUACGUCUCAAAAUACCAUGAAAUUGCUUUGCGUUUACAUAAACAGGUUCUUCUUCCAUUUCAAGAGGCAAAGGCAUUCUAGCAUGAUGCAAGAAUUGAGGAGGUACCAUAGCUUGUGGAGCAUAACUUAAGAUCCUGCCAUAUUGUGGAUCCAAAUAUGGAUAUGAUGUCAAAACAAUUGAGUGACCGACAAGUUCCAUUUGUGAAGUUGGUUCAAGGUAUCCGCCCAUAGCAACAGGUGCUGACAUUGGAACUUGUUUAAGAUGACGUUCUUGUCCAUUACUUCCAUCAGAUUGUGAUGCUGUAGUGAUCUGGGUAUCUUUAUUGGAGCUUGCUCCACUCUCUAAGCCAGAAUUGGCUUGUGACUGGAUAGCUCCAUCAGCAAGAGAA